rfam:Serratia sp. DD3 SRDD_contig000068, whole genome shotgun sequence.
GGUUAAGCGACUAAGCGUACACGGUGGAUGCCUAGGCAGUCAGAGGCGAUGAAGGGCGUGCUAAUCUGCGAAAAGUGUCGGUAAGGUGAUAUGAACCGUUACAACCGACAAUACCCGAAUGGGGAAACCCAGUGCAAUUCGUUGCACUAUCCUGUCAUGAAUACAUAGUGGCAGGAGGCGAACCGGGGG